rnacentral:snoRNA from 1 species
UUGCAUCCACUGAUAGACCUGAAGCGGGCUUCAUUGGCUUCUUGGUUUGCACAGAGAUGCUAAACUGAGCAUUCCUCAUGUUUUCUGGCUGCUGGAUCUUACAGUACCCGGAUUAACUUGGGGAGUACAGGA